AGAAAUUUUGCAAGUAAAAAUGCCAACUUUAACGAAGUUAUUCACAAUGGAAGAAGCUUCUGAGCACAACACUAAGGAUGAUUGUUGGGUCGUCAUUGACGGCAAGGUAUAUGAUGUUUCAUCUUAUUUAGACGAACAUCCAGGGGGAGAUGAUGUUCUACUUGGUGUUACAGGACAAGAUGCCACUGAUGAAUUCGAAGAUGCUGGACACAGCAAAAGCGCGAGAGAACUUAUGGAGAAAUUCUUCAUUGGGGAGCUUGAUACAACAUCCUCUUCCAUCCCUGAACUUGAGAUUGUCAAGAAGGCGGGCAAAGAUAUUCCUCAGAAGUUAAUGGAAGUUACUAAGCAAUAUUGGUUCGUUCCAGUAGCAGCCGUUGGCAUCUCUGUGGUGCUUGGCUUCUUGUACACACGCAAGAAGUAAAAUCAGUUCGAUAUUCCGUCUUUAAUGUUAGUAAUA
rnacentral:misc_RNA from 1 species